rnacentral:rRNA from 1 species
AUUGAACGCUGGCGGCGUGCUUAACACAUGCAAGUCGAUCGGUAACGCGGGGGCAACCCUGGCGACGAGAGGCGGACGGGUGAGGAACGCUUGGGAAUCUGCCUAUCAGCGGGGGACAACACGGGGAAACUCGUGCUAAUACCGCAUACGCUCUACGGAGGAAAGCCGGGGACCGCAAGGCCUGGCACUGAUAGAUGAGCCAAAGCCGGAUUAGCUAGUUGGCGGGGUAACGGCCCACCAAGGCGACGAUCCGUAGCUGGUCUGAGAGGACGAUCAGCCACACUGGAACUGAGACACGGUCCAGACUCCUACGGGAGGCAGCAGUGGGGAAUAUUGGACAAUGGGGGAAACCCUGAUCCAGCGACGCCGCGUGGGUGAAGAAGGCCUGCGGGUUGUAAAGCCCUUUCGGUAGGGACGAAAGCUCUCGACCUAACACGUCGGGAGGUUGACUUAACCUACAGAAGAAGCACCGGCUAACUCUGUGCCAGCCGCCGCGGUAAGAC